rnacentral:rRNA from 1 species
UACAUAGGCAGCGAGCGUUGUUCGGAGUUACUGGGCGUAAAGGGUGUGUAGGCGGUUGUUUAAGUUUGGUGUGAAAUCUCCCGGCUCAACCGGGAGGGUGCGCCGAAUACUGAAUGACUAGAGUGCGGGAGAGGAAAGUGGAAUUCCUGGUGUAGUGGUGAAAUGCGUAGAUAUCCGGAGGAACACCAGUGGCGAAGGCGGCCUUCUGGGAUGCUCCUGACGCUCAGACACGAAAGCUAGGGGAGCGAACGGG